AGCAAAAUGCCUGACUAAAGGAUUAUUUUGAUAGAAUAAAAAAUGUAAUGAAAUUACUUUUGCUA
rnacentral:tRNA from 1 species